AAAUCACUUGGACCAGGAAGGCAGAGGUUGCAGUGAGCCAAGAUCAUGCCACUGCACUCCAGCCUGGGCGACAGAG
rnacentral:snRNA from 1 species